AUUGAACGCUGGCGGCAUGCUUUACACAUGCAAGUCGAACGGUAACAGGUUAAGCUGACGAGUGGCGAACGGGUGAGUAAUGCAUCGGAACGUGCCCGAUCGUGGGGGAUAACGCAGCGAAAGCUGCGCUAAUACCGCAUACGAUCUGAGGAUGAAAGCGGGGGACCGUAAGGCCUCGCGCGAUCGGACCGGCCGGUGUCAGAUUAGGUAGUUGGUGGGGUAAAGGCCCACCAAGCCGACGAUCUGUAGCUGGUCUGAGAGGACGACCAGCCACACUGGGACUGAGACACGGCCCAGACUCCUACGGGAGGCAGCAGUGGGGAAUUUUGGACAAUGGGCGAAAGCCUGAUCCAGCAAUGCCGCGUGCAGGAAGAAGGCCUUCGGGUUGUAAACUGCUUUUGUACGGAGCGAAAAGGUCCUUUCUAAUACAAGGGGCUCAUGACGGUACCGUAAGAAUAAGCACCGGCUAACUACGUGCCAGCCGCCGCAGUAA
rnacentral:rRNA from 1 species